AGUGUUAGUGUGAAGUUACAGAGGAGCUGGACUGAGUGUCUCUACAGUAUCUACAGCUCUGAUGAGGGAAUGUUAGUGUGAAGUUACAGGAAUGAAUUGUGUCCAUUUGCCACCGUCAGUGUCUCAGAAAACCUCUUCAUCAGUAACUGUGUUAAUCAGGUUGUGUGUCAUUCAGCGGUUUGCUCUGCAGUGGCUCAGCCUGUCCUAUAGGGGGCAGUGAUGACAGUGACAUACUCCCGGUGUGUGGCCGAUGCUCGACUGGGCACUUUCUCUCACCUCCUCCUGCGCUGGAGAGGCAGCAUCUACAAACUGCUGUACAGAGAGCUUCUCAUCUUCACCAUACUGUACUUCUCUCUCAGCGCCCUCUACAGGUUUAUCUUACCGGACAGACAGAGGCGCCUGUUUGAGAAAUUGUCCCUGUAUUGCAACCGCUAUGCUGAGCUCAUCCCUGUCUCCUUCGUGCUAGGUGAGACUGCACUGAACACUGCACACUGGACACUGGCACCACCCACGAAACACUAUGCACACACUGAACACUGUACACACUCAGUACUAUAUACUCUUGUUUUUACCUGAAUAUUCUGAAUACAAAAGUUUGUACAAUGUAUAAUAUAAAGACUCAGACCAGCUCCUCUGAA